AUGCCACCGGAAAGGAGCUAUUGCCAAAUCAUAAACAAGUGAAGUACUGAAGGUACCACGAGGGUGCCUCUGUGACAUAGCCAGGAUCUGAGGCUGAGGCUGAGGCUGGAGCUUACUGACACCAGGGCUGUCCUUCACUCUGUGCCUCCCACGUCCUUAGCACAGUUUCACUAACUCUAAUACAUCCACAUUGCAGGUCAGGAUUGGGGAAGGCAGCUGCCGUCAGUAAGGGAAGAGAAUGGGCUGGAGGGUGUCCUUGGUCCCUACCUGUUCAGAUAUUCUGCUAUAUUCUGAAUGCUGCUAAGUCUUGUGUGCAGAAGCUGGGGGUCAAUCCUACUGCAAAGUGGUUUCCAGAAGUGUGUGGAAGCCCCAGUUAGAUGUGACCCCGGGAAGCUUUGAGUUGCUUUCCUCCUAAGCCACUCAGAGGAGCACCGCCCUGCCUCCCCGCCUCCCGGUCAUGCAGACCAUAGAAGGCAUAUGGCACAGGCUCUCUGAGCCCUGAGUUUGAGGCUCUGGAAUCGUCAGUUUCUGUUUUAUUCAGGAAUCACUUAAUGCAAUAAACAUAGUUUCUGGAUAUUGGUGGCUGGAAUCAUAAAGCCACUCAGUGAGCUCAUAUCAAAUGGGGAUGUUAUGGGCCAGGCUAUGUGGGCUAUAAGCAAACAGACUCCAUUUUACCCUGAGACUCCGUGUCAUGUAAGAAACACUUCUCCCACGAGAAAACUCUGCCUCUGCUGUCCCGAUCCUGCUUAGCACAUCCUGCUUAGAAACGCAAAUGUUUCUGUUCUUCUUAUACAAUGUAAAAUUGCUCUCUUUUUUGGGUUCCCAUUUUUCUUGGGCAGGGUACCCUGUCAGAGAAUGUUUGUCUAGACCUUAGUAACCAUUCUUUAAACUGUACUCAACUAGGGUCAUUUUGACCUACUUCUCCUGCUUAUGAUUUUAGACCUCAUGAUGUUUGUGUGUAGUUUUAAAUCACAGCAACAGCCACUUAUGACUAAUGUACUGGCAUGCUUUAAAAGGUGUGCCCCAACUCCUGGAGGGGGUCGAGGAGCCUUGCAGCUUGCUCUUGCCCCGCCAGCUUGUGCCCCCUCCAGCUGGUAAAUAAAGAUGGUUUCCUCUCCUACUUUAAGAUCCCCUCCACGAUUUAUUGCAAUCUCACCAUAGCAGGGACACCGCUGAGAGGAAACCGAGGUUCCUUCCCCUUGCAGCUUCGAGCGUGCACACAUGCAGCCUUGGCCUCUUGCCUCAGGCCUUCCUUUCCUGAUUUCUCAAGAGGAAGCCAGCACAAGACCAUUGCACUAGCAGCAGUCCAUGUAGACGCUCAGUUCAAGCACCGAGGAGGAAUGUUUUCGGUGGACACAACAUCUUUGUUUGUAUGUGGUGCUGAGGAUCGAACCUGGGCUGCAUGCAUCCCAGGCGAGCGUGCUACCUCUUGAGCCACAUCCCCAACCCCACAAGCUUUAUUUUUUAGAGCAAUUUUGGGUUCAACACAAAAUUGAAAAGUACAGAGAAUUCCCAUGUACCUCUGCCUGGCACAUGUACCACCUCUUCCAUUACUGACAUCCUGUACAAUUAAACAAUGUGCAAGACUGGCACAUUAUUACAGUCCACGAACCUACACAGACACAUAAUUAUCACUCAAAGUCUAUAGUUUAUAUUAGAGUUCACUCUUGGUGGUAUACAUUCUAUGAGGUUUAUUUUUUUGUUUCUUUUUAAAUUUUUUAGUUAUAUAGGUGGAAACAAUAUCUUAUUUUUUAUUUUUAUGUGGUGCUGAGGAUCGAACCCAGUGCCUCACGCAUGGUAGGCAAGUGCUCUACCUCUGAGCCACACCCCAUCCCUCCUAUUUUUUGUUUCUGGUUUUCAUGCUGGGGACUGAACCCAGGGCCUCCUGCAUGCUAGGCAACCAAUCCCUCUACCACUGAGCUCCUCCCACCCCUGUUGUAUUACAUUGAUGUAUUUGUUCUUUCAUCAAUACCACCUGUGGUUACUGAAGCUAUAUUAGGUUAUGAACCUGGGUCAUGUCAGUUCUCUGCCUUUGUUCUUCAAUAUUGUAUUGACUGUUCCGAGUCUUUUGCCUCUCUAUCUAAACUUAAGAACUAGUCUGCUGCUAUCCCAGAAUAAUAUCCUGGAAUUUUUAUCAGCAUUUCAUUGGAUCUGUAGAACAAGUUGAGAAGAAGGGAUGUAUUAACAAUGCCGAGUCUUAAUCAUGAACAUAGAAUACCCCCAUCCCAGGCAGCAGGAGAUUAUCUAACUUUUUGUUCUUAACCAAACUGUAGCUGAAAUAUGAUAUCUUAGUGUAGUUUUAAUUGGCAUUUGUCUUUUGUUGUGGUUAAGCAACUUUUAAUAGGUUAAAGUAUAUGAAGUUGUCAUUUUUAUAAGUCAAAAUUGACAAUUUUGUAUAGUUCAAAGUAACAUAUUUGUUAGUACUGGUGCGCAACGGUAAUCUCAGCUACUCAGGAGGCUGAGGCAGGAAGAUGGCAAGUUUGAGGCCAGCCUGGGCAAUAAUAAACCCUGUCUCAAAUAAAAAUCAAAAGGGCUGGGGAGGUAGCUCAGUGGUAGAGAGCUUGCCCAGAAUGCUUGAGGCCUGAGUUUGAUCUCCAGCACCACAAAAACCAAAAACAUUAGUAUAUUUAAGAGCCGCUUUACUCAGAGCAGUUUUUGUUCUUUGCUUAUUUUUCUACCAGGUUGUUGGUCUUUUUUCUUUCUUCUUCUUAAUAAUGAAUAGUAGGAGAUAUUUAUAUUUUAUGCAAACUAAACUUCUGUGUGUCAUUUGAAUUGUGAAUUUUUCUAGUUUGUCAUUUAAUUUUGCCAAUGGUAGUUUUUUUAAAAAUAUUUUUUUAAUUGAUGGACCUUUAUUUAUCUUUCUGAGGUGCUGAGGAUUGAACCCAGUGCCUCACACAUGCUAGGCAAACACUCUACCACUGAGCUACAGCCCCAGCCCACCAAUGGUAGUAUUUGUGUGUAAAUUUUUAAAAAUAUUUUUACUUGUAGAUGGACACAAUACCUUUAUUUUAUUUAUUUAUUUUUAUGUGGUGCUGAGGAUUGAACCCAGCGCCUCACAUGUGCUAGGCAAGUGCUCUACCACUGAACCACAACCUCAGCCCUAUAUGUAGAUAUUUUGGAUGUUAACUUUGUCACUUGAUUAAGAUCACAAUUGCUAGAUUUAUCCACAAUAAAGUUACCCCCACACACUUUCCAUGCUGUAUUCUUUGGAAGCCAGUGGCUACAUCUAUCUCACAGGAGGGUGGGACUAGUUUAUUUAUUUAUCUAUCUAUUUAUUUAUUUAUUUUUAUGGGUACUGAGGAUCGAACCCAGGGCCUCGCACGUACUAGGUGAGCGCUCUACCACUGACACAACCUCAGCCCCCUGUGUGACCUUUUAAUGAUGAAAGCUGGAUUAUAUCAAAUUUCCUGCUUGUGCUUUUGGAUGGCUGCCCACUGUGCGCAGAGUGAGAGGUGAGUCUGUGCCUGGCCUGAGAGAUCUUGCCUGGGGCAGGAGGUUGGCAAGUUUGAGGCCAGCCUGGCAAUUUAGCAGGACUGUCUCAAAUUGAAAAGUCCAAGGGUCUGAGAAUGCAGCCCUUUGAGCAACUCUGACUCCUCCUGAAAUGCUCCUUCUCCAGAAAAGUCCUCCCAAUCCCAAAUCUCAUUAGACCUCCCUGUGAAGACCCAGUAUUUUUCCUCAUGUGGCAAAUAGUACCUGGUGGUCACUCAAAUCCUUUCUCUUCUUCUUUGGUAGUAAUGAACUUGCCACUGGACAUGUGAUACCCAUCUACACUUCAUUUCAACCCUCCCUUGAGGUUGGUUGGACCAUGUGACAAGUUCUCUUUAGUGGAAUUUGACUUGGGAUGAUGUGUGCCACUCUCUGGAGUGGCCCAUAGACAUUCCUAUGCAUGCCCUCCAUCCCGAGGACAGGAAUGACCCUGUUAUGGUUAGGAUAUAAGGUGUCCCCUCAAAAGCUGCUGUUAAUAUUCAGAGGUGAAAUAAUCAGAGUAUGAAAAUGGUAACCUAAUCAGUCCACCCUAGUUUGAUUGGACUAAUUUGGUGACAACUGUAGGCAGGUGGGUGUGCUAGAGAAGCUGGGUUUUUGAGGAUGCAUGUACACUGGAGGGCUUCGUCUUCUACUUCUUGGCUGCAAUGCAACUUUCCUCCACCUUGCUCUUCUGUCAUGAUGUUCUGCCUUUCCAUGGGUCCAGAGCAUUGGAGUUGGCCGACCAUGGACUGAACCUCUGAAACUGUAAACCCCAAAUAAAUUUUUCCUCCUUUAAGUUGUUUUUGUCUGAUAGUUUGUCAGACAAACAAAUAAAUAAAAUGACCAAAAUAAAUAAAUAACAACAACAAAAAACCCCAGACUACUACAGGCUCCAAACAGAUGACCAUGGGAGUGGCAUGCAAAUGGGUACUACUAGGGUGCUUCGAUGACAGCAUUGGGCAGGCAGCCCCACCAACCUGGACCCCUGGUCUAAACUGCUCUAUGAGGGAGAAUCACAUCUCUGGGGCCUAUUUGUUUCUGCAGCUUAGCCUAUGCCAAUGUGAACCUUCUAGUUCAGUUCACAUGUGAUCAGUGGCGAGCAGCAAAAGGCUGAAGGAGUAAAGGGAAGGCUUUGAGUCUGAAUGGAAGAGUAGGUUUAUUAUGCCUUUUGUAUAUUUCAAUGACAACCCGAGAGAUGUGGAAUAAAAUAUCCACCCUCACAAAUGCAGUGCCGGGAACUUUCCCAAGCUUGCAAGAAGCAAGUACGAGAAGCAAAGAGAAGCCUGAGCUCCAGAGGAGCAGCCGGUGAGCCGGGAGGUUGGCAGCCCCAAGGGCUGGUGAUGGGUAGAAGCUUGGUGUUUUGUUGUUGUUGUUCUGUUAGUGACUUCAAAGUAGCAUUCAGUGGGGGCUGGGAUAAGCUCAUUGGUAGAGUGCUUGCCCCACAUGCACAAGGCCUUGGGUUCAAUCCCCAGCACCACAAAAUGAGCAUUGACGGUCCUCUGCUAGUCACUCUGCAGAGCUCUUGACUGGCACCUGCUCAUUUAAUUAUCACCUCCUUAGGAGGGAGGUGCUGUUAAUGUCCUUACUUUAUGAGGAGCCCAAAGCAUAGAGAAAUUAAGUUACUUGUCUUUGAUCUCAGGCUGGAAAGAGAUUAGAGGUGAGACUGAACCCAGGACAUAUGGCUUUCUGAGUCAGUGUUCUUAAGGCACCAUAAGUCACUACAGUAUGCCAGGGUCAUAAGUAGAAAGAUGAGUAAAAACAGGACCAGCUUUUACCUUGGGAGUGAUGGUCCCACAUGCCUCCAUCAAAACCCACACAUCCUGUGUCCCAGCAGGACCCCUGCAUUAGACCAGAGAACAGAACUCUGUUCACCAUAAUUCAUUUUCUGGUGCUAUAACAAAAUACUCAAGACCAGGUGAUUUAUAAAGAUUAGAGAUUUAUUUAGCUCACAGUUCUGGAAGCUGGGAAGUCCAAGAACCUGGUUUUGGUCUCUGGUCAGGGCUUCUUAUCGCAUCUUAAUGACAGAGGCAUCCUAUGGUGAGAUAGCAAGGUGCAUCAGAGAGAGCUCAUAACAUUAUUUGUGUUAUGAAUAAUGGAUUAAUUCCCCAAGCCCCCACCAUACCAUUAAUAGUUGAUUUAGAGAGUUGUUUCCAAAACCUGAAUUCCAGGAACACAUCCAAACCACAGCGCUCUUCCUUCUGCUUUCCAAGCUGUCAGUAGCCCUGCCAGUUCAGGUCUGUGGGGGAGGAGGUUUAAAUUCUUCUUACUCACUACGUUCUUCCCUUCUGAAGAACUGGGAGUUGUAAUAUUACUACCAGGCUCUGCCCUACAGCACUACAGCCCCCUGUGCUCCACCUAUCCUGGGAAGCCUCCUGGGAAUCAGCAGGGUAGUGGCUGUCUUGUGGGAAUUGGCCACAGGAGCUACUAUUAGAAAUAAGUUCAGAUUUCCCUUUAUGGAGCUGCAGUUGUGGCAUAGGCAGAGAGGAACAGGGAUCAGGAACCCUACAUUACAGGUGGAGCAUCCCUAAUCCCAAAAUCUCAAAUCCAAAAUUUUUUUUUCUUUCUUUUUUUUAUUGGUUGUUCAAAACAUUACAAGGCUCUUGACAUAUCAUAUUUCAUACAUUAGAUUCAAGUGGGUUAUGAACUCCCAUUUUUACCCCAAAUACCAAAAUGUUUUAAAAUCCGAGACUUUUUGAGCACUGACAUAUUGCUGCAAGCGGAAAAUUCCACAUUAUAAAACAUUGCUUCAUGCAUAAAAUUAUGUGAGAUAUUUUAUUAAGGUACCUUUAGACUCUGAAUAAAUCAUAUAUGAAACAUAAAUGAAUUUCCUGCUUAGGAUCAGGUCUCAGCCCAAUGUCUCAUUAUGUAUAUACAAAUAUUCCAAAAUGGGAAAAUUCCCAAAUCCAAGACAUUUCUGGUCCCAAGCAUUUUGGAUAAGGUAGAUGCAACCCGUAUUUCAUGUCCUUGGGAUCCUCCAGACAUGCAUCGUUCUUGUGUCAUUCUGUGCAUAAGUGCCAUAUAUCACAGCAUAAUCAUCACCACCACAUAAUCAUUGUGCCCUGUUUUUGUUUUUUUUUUUUUUUUUGAUCCAAAAAUUGGUUUAUAACUUUUUAUUGUGUAAUUGUUGCAUGGUAUGAUUUCAUUUGCCAGGAACAUAUAGGUGCAUGUUUCUGUUCUCUUGCUCUGUGAUCUAUGAGUAUAUUUCCAAAAGCCAACACACCAGGCUUGUUUAGAGUACCUCAGAACUAAUGGUGAACGCAUCUUACACGUGGCGCUCAUGAGGACCUCGUGAUACCAAGAACUGUGGUGCAGAACCUUGGAAUACAGAAGAUUACAUUUUACGGGAAAAAUGUUCCCUCAACUGUCGGGAAGAAAUGAUACAUGUGAAUUUGGACAAUUCUAUCAUUAUUUAUUUAUUUAUUUAUUUAUUUAUUUAUUUUUUGUGUGCUACUAGGGAUCAAACUCAGGGCCUUGUGGCAUGCAAGACAAGCACUCUACCAACUGAGCUAUAUCCCCAGCCCUGGACUAUUCUAUUUUAAUGUAUAUUCAUGAGUAUUCUGUGCAUCCUAAUCUUGCACCAAUGACAGUUUACUAAUAAACAAUUAUUAAGUAACACUA